AGUCAUAAUUCAUAUGCAUACACAAAUUUAAACUACAGCACUACGCCUAUGGCUGCAGCUAAAUACUAUUCCUCUCGCUCUCUAAUUCAUAAUCAUACCCGAAUUUUUCAAGAGCUCUCCACCUCCGCCGCCAGAUUGAGCUCGAAGAAAGCAGGUUUUUCAGUCUCGGGUGUAAAGAGAGCUAACCUCACUGCCAGGAAAAAGGAGAGGAUCAAGCUCCCUAAUUAUGGCGGAGGAAAUGGGAUCAGUCAAUUUUUCAGUCAUCCAUCUGGGAUUGAGGCGAUACUCAAUUCUAGGGCUCUGCAGAGUUAUCACCCCAUUGAUUCCAAUCUGUACAGGUGUGUUCUGCCGCAGAUUCAACUUCUCAGUUUUAGAGUUGCGCCAGUUUUGGAGUUACAAGUAACUCCAUCUAGUGAAGAUUGUGUUGUAGAGAUGUUGUCUUGCAAGUUUGAGGGUUCUGAAGCAGUGGAACGCCAGAAUGAACGUUUUUCAGCUUCUAUGAGAAAUCAUAUUACAUGGGAAACUAUUGAUGGUGAACAUGUCUUGGAUGUUGAUGUGGAAUUAAAUAUUCUCCUCGAGCUGACCACAGUAAUGGUGUUAUUUAUCGCAGAUCAACACACAGCCAUUUGCAAUGCUGCCUAUAUCAGCUGUCGAGCAACCAGGAAAUAUGGUGAUGCAGGCCGUGGUAGACCGUAUGGUCCCAUUGCUUGCACAACAAUUGCUGCAAGAUUAUAAGGAAUGGAUUCAUCAACAAAGCAAAAGCCUUGAGUGAAUUAAUCCUGCAAGGUGGAAACUAUCAUAUUUGGUCGUUGCAAUCAGAGGAAAAGUCUCAUCUAACAAAAUACUCCUAGUUACUAGUAUCAUGCAUAAAAGAAUACCAAAUGUAGGUGUGCUAACUUCAAAAAAUGUAUGUAUGCUGAUGAUUGUUGGCAUGACUUGUGAUGAAUAAAAAUUGGUCAGUAUGUUUAUCA